rnacentral:rRNA from 1 species
UACGGAGGGUGCAAGCGUUAUCCGGAUUCACUGGGUUUAAAGGGUGCGUAGGCGGGCAGGUAAGUCAGUGGUGAAAUCUCCGGGCUUAACCCGGAACUGCCGUUGAUACUAUCUGUCUUGAAUAUAGUGGAGGUGAGCGGAAUAAUGUCAUGUAGCGGUGAAAUGCUUAGAUAUGACAUAGAACACCCAUUGCGAAGGCAGCUCGCUACACUAUCAUUGACGCUGGAGGCACGAAAGCGUGGGGAUCAAACAGG